UCCCAGGUGGUCCAGUGGUUAGGACUCAGCACUUUCACCGCCGGGACUUGGGUUCAAUCCCUGGUCAGGGAA
rnacentral:tRNA from 1 species